rnacentral:misc_RNA from 1 species
GAACUGCGAUAAGUAAUGUGAAUUGCAGAAUUCAGUGAAUCAUCGAGUCUUUGAACGCACAUUGCGCCCCCUGGCAUUCCGGGGGGCAUGCCUGUCCGAGCGUCAUUGCUGCCCUCAAGCCCGGCUUGCGUGUUGGGUCGUCGUCCCCCCCGGGGGACGGGCCCGAAAGGCAGCGGCGGCACCGUGUCCGGUCCUCGAGCGUAUGGGGCUUUGUCACCCGCUCGAUUAGGGCCGGCCGGGCGCCAGCCGGCGUCUCCAACCUUAUUUUUCUCAGGUUGACCUCGGAUCAGGUAGGGAUACCCGCUGAACUUAAGC